AAGUCGUAACAAGGUUUCCGUAGGUGAACCUGCGGAAGGAUAAUUAUUGAAUUCAAAUCAUCUGUGGCUUCGGUCCGGAUGUGCCAACAGGUAACACUGUUGGUAAUUCUAUCCAUAACACCUGUGAACUGUUGGAUACUUGCAUCCACUUUUAUACUAAACAUUAUUGUAACAAAUGUAGUCUUAUUAUAACUAAUAAAACUUUUAACAACGGAUCUCUUGGCUCUC
rnacentral:misc_RNA from 1 species